rnacentral:rRNA from 1 species
UACAGAGGGGGCAAGCGUUGUUCGGAAUUACUGGGCGUAAAGGGCGCGUAGGCGGCCUGUUAAGUCGAACGUGAAAUCCCCGGGCUUAACCUGGGAACUGCAUUUGUGACUGCAUGGCUGGAGUGCGGCAGAGGGGGAUGGAAUUCCGCGUGUAGCAGUGAAAUGCGCAGAUAUCAGGAGGAACACCGGUGGCGAAGGCGGGUCUCUGGGCAGUAACUGACGCUGAGGAGCGAAAGCGUGGGGAGCGAACAGG